AUUGAACGCUGGCGGCAUGCUUUACACAUGCAAGUCGAACGGUAACAGGCCGCAAGGUGCUGACGAGUGGCGAACGGGCGAGUAAUGCAUCGGAACGUGCCCAGUCGUGGGGGAUAACUACUCGACAGAGUAGCUAAUACCGCAUCCGAUCUAUGGAUGAAAGCGGGGGACCGUAAGGCCUCGCGCGAUUGGAGCGGCCGAUGUCAGAUUAGGUAGUUGGUGGGGUAAAGGCUCACCAAGCCAACGAUCUGUAGCUGGUCUGAGAGGACGACCAGCCACACUGGGACUGAGACACGGCCCAGACUCCUACGGGAGGCAGCAGUGGGGAAUUUUGGACAAUGGGCGCAAACCUGAUCCAGCAAUGCCGCGUGCAGGAAGAAGGCCUUCGGGUUGUAAACUGCUUUUGUACGGAACGAAACGGCUCUGGUUAAUACCCGGGGCUAAUGACGGUACCGUAAGAAGAAGCACCGGCUAACUACGUG
rnacentral:rRNA from 1 species